rnacentral:rRNA from 1 species
AGNANAGCAUUAUACAGCGAAACUGCGAAUGGCUCAUUAAAUCAGUUAUCGUUUAUUUGAUAGUACCUUACUACAUGGAUAACCGUGGUAAUUCUAGAGCUAAUACAUGCUAAAAAUCCCGACUUCGGAAGGGAUGUAUUUAUUAGAUUAAAAACCAAUGCCCUUCGGGGCUCUCUGGUGAUUCAUGAUAACUUCUCGAAUCGCACGGCCUUGCGCCGGCGAUGGUUCAUUCAAAUUUCUGCCCUAUCAACUUUCGACGGCUGGGUCUUGGCCAGCCGUGGUGACAACGGGUAACGGAGGGUUAGGGCUCGACCCCGGAGAAGGAGCCUGAGAAACGGCUACUACAUCCAAGGAAGGCAGCAGGCGCGCAAAUUACCCAAUCCCGACACGGGGAGGUAGUGACAAUAAAUACUGAUACAGGGCUCUUUCGGGUCUUGUAAUUGGAAUGAGUACAAUUUAAAUCCCUUAACGAGGAACAAUUGGAGGGCAAGUCUGGUGCCAGCAGCCGCGGUAAUUCCAGCUCCAAUAGCGUAUAUUAAAGUUGUUGAGGUUAAAAAGCUCGUAGUUGAACCUUGGGCCUAGCCGGCCGGUCCGCCUCACCGCGUGCACUGGCUCGGCUGGGUCUUUCCUUCUGGAGAACCUCAUGCCCUUCACUGGGUGUGCUGGGGAACCAGGACUUUUACUCUGAACAAAUUAGAUCGCUUAAAGAAGGCCUAUGCUCGAAUACUCUAGCAUGGAAUAAUAGAAUAGGACGUGUGGUUCUAUUUUGUUGGUUUCUAGGACCGCCGUAAUGAUUAAUAGGGACAGUCGGGGGCAUCAGUAUUCAAUUGUCAGANGUGAAAUUCUUGGAUUUAUUGAAGACUAACUACUGCGAAAGCAUUUGCCAAGGAUGUUUUCAUUAAUCNACGAAAGUUAGGGGAUCGAAGACGAUCAGAUACCGUCGUAGUCUUAACCAUAAACUAUGCCGAUUGNAUCGGANGGCGUUAUUUUUUGACCCGUUCGGCACCNUACGANAAUCAAAAUGUUGGGCUNCNGGGGGGANUAUGGNUCGCANGCUGAAUNANAANGGGGNGNANC